UAGACGUAUUUCUUCGAGUCAGAUCUGUAGCGUAACCUAACCUUUCGAUGGCGUCGGUUUUUCAUUACUAUUGUAUUACUGUUUAUACAUUGUGAUUAAUAUUGUUUAAUUAAUGCACGUUUACUUUAUCGUUUACUGAACACUUUGGUAGUAAAAUCAGAAUGUUGGUUGACUGCGGUUGAUUGCUGUUAACUACAGAGAUGUCAUGAGAGAAAAUGAAGCAUAAAGAAUAAACACCAAUGUCUUUUUCAUGCAGAUUUGAAUCAGUGCUUCGCGCAAGAGUAUUCAGUCUCUCCAAUAUUAAAGAACCACACUUAUUAUCUGAAUAUCUAGUUCUUAUUAUCUGAAGGGGAUUUAGCAAUGCUUCAAAAUUUAAAAGCAUGGUCGACAUACUCCACUUGUUCCUAUCUUCUGGUGGGGAUCUAGCUAUGCUCCAGCAACCAAAAGUGGAUAAAUUGUAAUAUUCUACAUUAAAGAUGUUACAUUCUCUUCUUACCUUCUCUGCUUUUUCCUAUCCUCUGGGGAGGAUCUAAUGGUGCUUUAGGAGCCAAAACUAAAUUUUUCACAGCCGUCGUCCCCGUCGAAUUUGAUGGUCCAUGAUAACGACCCUCGUGAUGAUUUCUUCUGGGCUACUGCAAUAUUGAUGAUAAUAUCCUCGGUAUUCAAUGGUGAGUCACAUGCAUUUUUAUCCUUCCAGUCAUUCAAUCAUGUUGUAGGAUGAAAGAUACGAACCGACACGUGUGAUUGGUUGCAUUUUUCGUAGAAUUUUUUGCGAGCAUACUGACCGCUGGUAUUUAUUAUACACAUAAAUAGUAACACAUAUUUUUGUGAUUUAUUUACUAGUUCAGAAUAGGUUUUGUUGCACAUCGCGGUUUUUGAUAGUUAAUUCAAACGCAUGUAUUUGAAAAUGUAUAAAAUUAAAACGUAUUCAAUAUGAAUAUUUAUAAAAACGAAAUAUUCAUACAAAUAUACAUCUAUGUAAAUAUAAAUAGUAAAGUAAGCUAUGAAUAGCGAAAUAUCAAAUAUUGAUGUAACUUCAUUUGAGUAUUUCGUAGCAAGUAUGUCGGAUACUUUCCGACUUCAUUACUAUCAAAGCUGCAAUUAUUACACGAUAGUAACGAUAGACACUAUCGUUAUUAUUAGAUGUAAUAAGUAAUUUUCAAUUUCAUGCUUCUGUUUUAUGAUACUAUUGAGUUAUUUAAUUGUUUGAUUUCUACAUUAUAAGCUUCAAUAUAAUUGAAUACAUAAAGAUAUUAAAGUUCAAUUUCCGUCACACGAAUGUAUGAUAUUUUAAGUACAACAAGAAAUUUCGCGACAGAGUUGAUUUUUAAAUCAAAGCAAUAAGUUUGAAAAUUUCUUUUGUGUCUUCGAAAAUGUACUUUAGUGAGAAAAUUGCUUGAGAUAUUAUUUUUAUCAAUAUUAAAUUUAGUAUCAGUUAUUUCACUGAUAUUUGUCUUUCUUCCAAUAAGUAUAUUUCUUACUUGCUGCUAAUUUUUUUCGAUUAAGUGUUAAAAUUUCAAUAAUAUAAUAAAGUAGAUCCAAUUAAGUAAAAUUAAUAAGUUAGAGUUAUUACAAUGUAAAAUAAAGUAAUAAAAUACAAAUUUAAAGAAUAUUAGUCUGCUAAAUACAAAGUAUAAUAGACAAGCCAAUCAGCUUUUUAAUUCAGGAUUUUUAGAUUUAACCGCUUCCGUAUUCACUGUCAGAAUCUCACUCACGUAUCCAGAUGCUAUUUGAGUGGGAGAAAGAACAUAGAUACAAUGAUCAUAUAUCGAAUAAUUUGCUAGGCUGAUAAUGUGUUAAUGUAUCGUGCAUGACAUAUUUUUCACGUGUGUGUCUGUGGUUAGAUUAUGGAAUUGUGCCAUUUUGACUUUUAAUUCAUUUACUAUAAUUUCAAGCAUCAAAACAGAUUCAUACAAAUAGUAAUGUAAUUGCAAUGUGCAAUAGCAGUAUCAGAUCCAAUAUUAAAUAACCAGAUUAUAGAUAACGAUACUAUUAAUCGUAUUAUUAUAUUUUAUAUCAUUUGUGUCAGUAAUAUAAUUUUCUUAAGAAUAUGUAUGAAUACUUAUAAUUAAAGUAAAGGUUUACACGGGUCUUAUGCAAUAUUCACUAGCCUUCGUCAGUCGAUUACAGGAAAUUGUACGUACAUUAGAGUGUGCAAGUUGUUUGUUAAACUCAACGACUGUCGGAGGCGUCUUGGAACGUUUCUUUAAUGAAAAUCCUUGUGCCCGGGCUAUGCGUGACAACCAUGGAGCGAGUGUGUUACUGUGUCUGUCUCUUGCCAUUUUGUUAAAAAUAGAACUGAAUGGGAUAGAUAGCAUACUUUUUAGUAUGAGUAUUAAAUCAUAAUUAAGUAGAGCCGUGCAGCCGUAGUCUUUGCUCUAGGCAUGCUUUCGCGUGUCCAACCAGUCCCAGGAAAUUUGAAGGUGAAGCUGGAAUGAAUGGUGCAUGCCACUCGUCUCUGGCUUUGCCCAUCGAUUCUUCAACUUUCGCGAUCAUGGUCGUGAGUAGGAUUUCAAACUAAUGUUUAUUUAUUGCGCGAGCGUGCAUGUGAGAACAUACAGCGAUCAUUAUGAUCGUUGGUCGAUCAUGUGUCUUUAAAUCAGUUUUCACGAUUUAUAUUUUUAUUCCGCCUUUAUAAAUUAUUUUUUGUUUCGCAAUCAGAAAGCUUCGAGCUAGAUUUAAGUUUCAGCAGGCAUUGCGCCCGAAGAAAAAAGAGGCUACGACCCAAAGAGACCCGAAAAAUUUCCCAUAGAGGAGGGUUCUGGAUCAUCCAAAGCAUGGAAAGCCAUUCUCAUUACUAUUUUGUCACUAUGCUCGUUUUUAAUAUCUGCAGUUGUAGUAUUUUUCUUCUUUUUUGGAGGAGCGGGGGGGAGCAAUGUAUAUGUCUCUCUCUUUGUUUUUAUAUUUCUGUUUUUUUUUUGUUAGUGUUGUGAAAGAUUAAUUACAGUUUGAAUUAGAGUUAUGGAUAAAGUGUGGAUAAAGACACAUACACAUGUUAUGUCAUAUACAUCUCAUGCUAUAUCCAUUUACCUUAUUGUAUUUAGAUUCUUAGAUAGAUAAAACCCUUAAACAAAUCAUUAGAUUUUUAUAAGGAUAAGAUGUAUAACAUUUUCAGAUCUGUGAUAGGACUUAUACUUAAGUUGACAGAGAUCCAUGGUAUUUCAGGAUAUACAGAGAGGUAGUCAAGCUUUUAAAAGGUAUAUUCAUCCCACACGACACUCCUUUCCUUUUUCUUGUUAUAAUUAUAUACUUUAUAUAUAUAAGACAAUUUGGAUUUAUUGUAAAAUAAGGAUAAAUUUAUGGUUAGGAAGGAUGCUUCUGAGUUGGAAGGCUAGUUAUUUUAUUGUUAGAUGGGAAUAAAUUUAAAAUUAAAAAUUAAGAUAGAUAUUUUUUUUGUUACAGAGUUGUUUAAUAGUUACUUUUUAGUGGAGAUCUUAUAUAUUGUAUAUUGUUAGGGAGGGAUAAAUUUACAGUUAGAAAAUCUAUUUUUGAGUUAAGCAGUUUAUGAAUAGCUAUUUUUUAGUGAAAAUUUUAUACGAUAUGUAACAUGAUAACUACUAUUACUAUCUACUAAAUACAAUAAUUAAUUGUGUAUUUAUUUAUGAUGUAUUAAUAGCUAAGUGCAUGUGUAAUUAUUG